ACUCCUACGGGAGGCAGCAGUGGGGAAUAUUGGACAAUGGGGGAAACCCUGAUCCAGCAAUGCCGCGUGAGUGAUGAAGGCCUUAGGGUUGUAAAGCUCUUUUACCAGGGAUGAUAAUGACAGUACCUGGAGAAUAAGCUCCGGCUAACUCCGUGCCAGCAGCCGCGGUAAUACGGAGGGAGCUAGCGUUGUUCGGAAUUACUGGGGCGUAAAGCGCACGUAGGCGGUUACUCAAGUCAGAGGUGAAAGCCCGGGGCUCAACCCCGGAACUGCCUUUGAAACUAGGUAACUAGAAUCCUGGAGAGGUGAGUGGAAUUCCGAGUGUAGAGGUGAAAUUCGUAGAUAUUCGGAAGAACACCAGUGGCGAAGGCGGCUCACUGGACAGGUAUUGACGCUGAGGUGCGAAAGCGUGGGGA
rnacentral:rRNA from 1 species